rnacentral:rRNA from 1 species
GAAGGUGUAUCUAGNAAUUAUAUU